AUAACUGCUCAAUAUUAUUUGUAGAUCAGUCGGUUUGAGUUUAUUUUAUUUUUACAGGGACAGUGCACAUUAAUCAACGUUUCAGUAAAAGUGCCGGUUUUAGCCAGCCGGCUAAUUUUCAACCGCAGUCCCUGGGCAGGUUAUUAAAAACAAUUACAAUAUAGACAAUAACAACAUAGGACAAGCAAUACAUAGCAUACAGACAGAGAAACAUAGGACAAGCAAGACGUAGCAUACAGACAUAGCAACAUAGGACAAGCAAGACAUACAGUGCCUUGCGAAAGUAUUCAGCCCCCUUGAACUUUGCGACCUUUUGCCACAUUUCAGGCUUCAAACAUAAAGAUAUAAAACUGUAUUUUUUUUGUGAAGAAUCAACAACAAGUGGAACACAAUCAUGAAGUGGAACGACAUUUAUUGGAUAUUUCAAACCUCUUUAACAAAUCAAAAACUGAAAAAUUGGGCGUGCUUCAACACUCAAACAUCAACACUCAAACAUAAUUUACAAAUGAAGCAUGUGUUUAGUGAGUCCUCCAGAUCAGAGGAAGUAGGGAUGACCAGGUAUGUUCUCUUGAUGAGCAUUCAAAAUGUAACAAGUCAUUUUGGGUGUCAGGGAAAAUAUAUGGAGUAAAAAGUACAUUAUUUUAUUUAGGAAUGUUGUGAAGUAAAAGUAGUCAAAAUGUUAAAUAGUAAAGGGAAGUACAGAUACCCUUUUCAAGUAUUUUUACUUAAGUACUUUACACCACUGAUUUUGGUCUGGUUUUUUGAGAGGUUUCAGAGAUGGACUUAUUAUCAUCCCCUCUCAACAGUGUGUUUACUUUACUAUAUGAAGGAGUUGAUCUGUUUGCUGUUACCCUCUGGAAAGCAAAUCAUUAGUAUAGCUAGUAGGCAAGGUUAUGUAAUGUUAUGUAGUCCUGUCUGCUAUGGUGGGUUUUAAAUUAAUUGGUAUUCACAUGUUAGUUUUUUUUUAGGUAGAAUUACUGUCAUGUUAUUGAUACCAAAUUGCAAACCUUAUUUGCACCUUUUCUAUUCCAGAACCAAUGGGUCUUAUCACCUCUCAACUAGGUCAGCUGUUUCAACCUGGAACACUGUGCUCCACACCUGCCUUGUCUGUUGGAGUAAAUACAAACCCGAAGAUGUUCAAGCAGCACUCUGAGAGCAAGCACCCCAAGUCUCCAAUGCUCCCAGUACUGGUUGAUGUGUGGGCCUAAGUGACCACACACACUGAAAUGGACCUACAUCCAGGACUUGUUCCCGCUGAAAGUCUUAACACUUUCAAAAGCGAAUACUGGACAAUAUUUCUAACGUAGAACGUGGGGAAUGGUCAGAGGCGAUCUACAGAACACUAAUGUCGUUUUGUAUGCUAUUUUGUGAUGUCAUUAAAAAUGUUAUAAAGGAAAUACUGUAACUUGGAAAGUAUACCCACUACAUGGAUGAAGUUUCCAUACUAUGGAAUGGAAUGUAAUAUGGAAAAUUAUGAACGUGUUUUUGUUAAGAGAGGGAUGUGAUUUGAUAAGUUAUAAUAGAGAAUUGUUUCCAUAACUUUGCACACCGCCCGGAGUGACGUCAUGGAGCAUGCCAGCCUGCCAGAACCGCCAGUUUUGUGCAAAAGUUAUAGAUGAUGGGUUAUGAAUUACCACAUGGGACCUGAAAAGUGUGAAGCUGCAGCUGCGUGUUUAAAAUGGUUUGAACUUUAAAUCUCAAGUCAAGGUGGAAACGAUAAACUCACCUCCCAGAAAAUCACUGGUACGGCUGAUUGGCUGUUCUAAGUAAAGUAUCUUCAAAAGCGAAUUUAAGUAGGACCAACCUGUUACUCUCCUCAAACCAUCGUAUAUAAGUUAUCGUGAUUUGACUUUAACAUUAAUCUGAAGACUGUUAUUUAUCUAAUUAACUAAGUAUGUUUAAUUGUUACCCGAUUGAAUGAAUCAUGUAAAACAUAACUCAUUGGGAUCUGGGGCACCACGAGAGCGGUUCUUUAAAACUCUAACAUAGUUUUUUGUGGAACAUCUAUCGAUGUGCCCUUGAGCUGGUCGUUGACCCUGGUUGCUUCUGUGUGUCGCUCUGGAUGGGAGUCUUUUAGAUGCGAUGUUGUUGUUGAGCAGCUUC